AACUCCUACCAUCAUUGAGGCAAUAAUGUUCUCUCCCUCCGUUAAUUUCCCUCUCACCCGCGUAAACCACUGUCACUUUCAAACCGUCGACCAGACACAAAACAUCGGUCAUCGAAACAUUGCGAAAAAAAAUUAAUUAAUUCAAAUUAAAACCAUAAACGAUAAAAUUCAAAAAUAAACUAAACAAAAAUUCAAAUAUCAAAAAAAAAAAGGACCUCCAUUGAUCAAACAAAAAAUCUUAAUUUUAUUAUUAUGAUAAUCAAUGUCAACAAAUUAAAAAACAUGUAGUUUUUUUUUUUUUUUUAUCAAUCGAUAAUAUUAAUCCUGGACACAGUGAAGAGUGUGCCGGAAAGUGAACGAGUUUUUAUUUUAUUUUAUUUAUAUUCAAAUUUUUUAUUUCGAACGGAAGUGUGCAUCGUUGAACCAGUGUUGUGUACGUUUUUUUAUUUUUAAACUUUUUUUUAUAUAUACGAAUCAACAGAUCAAUCUAGAAAGAAGUAAUUUUUUUUUGUUUAUAAUUUUUAUUUUAUAUUGAUGAUGAUUGUAAAUAUUUUCAAAGUCAAUUAUUGCUUGAUAAUUAAACAUGAGAACGUGAGUUGGAUAUUUAUUGAAUAAAAAAUAAUAAAAUGCAACAAAUUAACAGUGUUUAUAGACGUAAUUAUUGAUGAUGCAAGGGAAGAGAACAAGUAACUAUUAUGAAUCUAUGUAGGCUGAACACGUAGAGCAAUUGAAUCGCACAGUGGAUUAAGUAACAACAUACCGACGUGAAAGUUAUUCCACUCUUUGAUAAACUUGCUUUAAAAUUUAUGAAGAUAGUUAAAUAUGAUGUCGUUCUUGACGAGUUUCAUGUCAACACUUUUACUUGAUGGUGACAGAAAUAUUGAAAAUGAUAAAUUUAAUAUGGCAACAUUUAUGGUUUUUUUUUUACUCAUAACUAUUGAAGUUGUUAUUGUCAAAGUUGUCACAUUUGAAAUGGAGCAUGAUGAUGAAAGCCGGUUUGGAGUACAUUCAGCAGCUAUUUUUUUUGACUAUGAUGAUUAAUUUAAUUUUUUUUUUUUAAUUUAAUCUGAUAUAUAUACUUUAAUUAAUA